rnacentral:miRNA from 1 species
UGGGCAAUGUUAUGUAUAUACAUACAUAUAUAUAUAUAUAUAUAUAUAUAUAUAUAUGUAUGUAUAUACAUAACAUUGCCCAGAAUUUUA